rnacentral:rRNA from 1 species
GGAGGAUGCGAGCGUUAUCCGGAUUUAUUGGGUUUAAAGGGUGCGUAGGCGGGACGUCAAGUCAGCGGUGAAAUACUGUGGCUCAACCAUAGCAUUGCCGUUGAAACUGGCGACCUUGAGUGCGGCAGAGGUAGGCGGAAUGUGUGGUGUAGCGGUGAAAUGCAUAGAUAUCACACAGAACACCGAUUGCGAAGGCAGCUUACUGGCGCGCAACUGACGCUGAGGCACGAAAGCGUGGGUAUCGAACAGGAUUAGAUACCCUGGUAGUCCACGCUGUAAACGAUGAUGACUAGCUGUUGGCGAUACAAUGUCAGCGGCACAGCGAAAGCGUUAAGUCAUCCACCUGGGGAGUACGCCGGCAACGGUG